rnacentral:rRNA from 1 species
AGACAGAGGGUGCAAGCGUUACUCGGAAUCACUGAGCGUAAAGGACGCGUAGGCGGGUUGGAAAGUCUGAUGUGAAAUCCUACAGCUUAACUGUAGAACUGCAUUUGAAACUGCUAACCUAGAGUAUGGGAGGGGGAGAUGGAAUUAGUGGUGUAGGGGUAAAAUCCGUAGAUAUCACUAGGAAUACCGAAAGCGAAGGCGAUCUCCUGGAACAUAACUGACGCUAAGGCGUGAAAGCGUGGGGAGCAAACAGGAUUAGAAACCCUAGUAGUCC